rnacentral:misc_RNA from 1 species
ACUUUGGGUCGCCGUGGUCGAGGAGGUGUGUGACAGUCUUUGGCAGCAUGGGUUUGUCAGUGACUAAGCAAUGGGCAGGAGUGAAACUCCUACCUUCAGAAAUCUAGUCCACAAGUCAGACCGAGUGCAAUAUAUACCCAAGUCUUUCAGAUUUUUUGUCGUAUUUGAAUCUCGUCAUGAUCAUGUGAUCUCAGGGUAUCAUCUUAGCCAAUCAUCACACCAUCGCACUAGUCCACCACCGCUGUGAUAUUUCAGCUGAUUUGUUUCUCAUCAUUUUGUUAUUUUACAAUUUUUUGUUGAAAUUGUUUUUAUUAAACCAUUGUAUUUUGCAC